UACAGAGGGGGCUAGCGUUGUUCGGAAUUACUGGGCGUAAAGGGCGCGUAGAUGGCCUGUUAAGUCGAACGUGAAAUCCCCGGGCUCAACCCGGGAACUGCGUCCGAGACUGGCAGGCUCGAAUCCGGGAGAGGGAUGUGGAAUUCCAGGUGUAGCGGUGAAAUGCGUAGAUAUCUGGAGGAACACCGGUGGCGAAGGCGGCAUCCUGGACCGGUAUUGACGCUGAGGCGCGAGAGCCAGGGGAGCAAACGGG
rnacentral:rRNA from 1 species